rnacentral:rRNA from 1 species
UGCCAGCCGCCGCGGUAAAACCAGCACCUCAAGUGGUCAGGAUGAUUAUUGGGCGUAAAGCGCGUGUAGGCGGCUUAGCAAGUUGGUUGUGAAAUCCCGGGGCUCAACCCCGGAACUGCAACCAAAACUGCUGAGCUUGAGUCUCGGAGAGGGUGGCGGAAUUUCCGGUGUAGAGGUGAAAUUCGUAGAUAUCGGAAGGAACACCAGUGGCGAAGGCGGCCACCUGGACGAUGACUGACGCUGAGACGCGAAAGCGUGGGUAGCAAACAGGAUUAGAUA